AUUUUGCAUAUUACUUGGGAGCAAAGGCAUUGUCUGUGCAUGAGAAAGGAAUGAAUUCCUCAUGGAAGGUGCUCUAUGGACAAUUCCUUUUUAUCUUCACAAGUCCUGGAGAAACAGCAGUGGAUUGCCCUGCCUUACUUCACCCCUGGGCUGGUCCCCUGCAUGUGUCUCUCACAUAAGGAGCUCUGAUUGCUCUCCUCCUUUUCUGUUAAAAACAUCCAAGGAGCUCCUUGUUCUACCAGGCACUGUACCAAACUCAACAUCCAUCCCUGUACCUGGAGUUCCCCGCUGCAGACUGGGAGUGGCUUUUUAGAAGGUGUUAGCUCAAGCAGCAAAGCCGUAUGGUGACAAAGCACUGCACAGCAUUGCCAACAGCCUGGGCACACUAAGGUCUAGCGCUCCUCUGCGAGCAGUGCCAGUUGUGGUUUGAUUUGCUUAUGUCUCCUGUUUGGAGAUUUUAAAUGAUGUUGAAAGGCUGUUUGGUUUGGGAUUUUGUCAUUGUUAUAUUCGUUUAUUUUCCUCUUACCAGUCCUUGAGAUAAAAACUGAAAAUGAGCAAAGAAAAGUUCCAUUAGGAGGCUCAAACAAAUUAAACCAGCACUCUGGCUCUAGAAGCUCAGCUGUCUAUAGCUGUAAUAUGGCUGCAGGUUGUUGCAUUUACUUCAGUGAAUCACCAGUAGAUCUGGUCCUUGCACUGCUGCUCUAUUUCAGUAAAAAUGAUGUCUUCAAGGUGCUUCUUGUGCAUAAUCUCUGCAUCUGGGGAGGUCAUGAGAUGAUCGCUUUAGGUGACAACAGCGAGAUUAACCCAGUCAUGAGUCUGCAAUUGAAAAUUUAGCUCUAGAUAAGACUUCAGCAUGAGAAAGUCUGGGUUUUGAUGCCUGAGUGGUGUACCUUUAUGUGUUGUUUUCUUCUGGGACCAAGGUUGUGAAGCCCUGUUAAGUACCACCUCUUCAUUGUAUUUUAAUUUUCUAUCCCCUCCUUUAAACAUGCAUAUUCCCAUGCUCACUCCUUGCUUUCCAGUUCUCUGUUUCUGAAAUGUGAGCCCUGUGAUAUUCCAGUUCACACCUGGCUUUCUGCACUGGCCUGAGUGGGCCUGGCAAUUGGGCAUCCUUACAGAAAAAGGCACCAGGCAGAAACUUGAGCAAAAAAAUGGUAUGAGGACUGAAAGAGCCAUUAAAUUCCUCCUGUCAUAUCAGUGAAACUGUACAUACUUUGAAAAAUUCCCCUAAUAUAUCUUUAAACCAUAGACCAUAGCACUGGUUGUGGUCUAGAGUACCAACUCUUAUGUUUCAGUAAGAGGCCAUUUUCUUUCUUCUUGUCUCUACUACUGGGGGUGGGUGGAGGAUGAGGAUGGGAAUAUGAUUUGCAUCUACAUAAAAAUAAAUUUGUAGUGGAAUCACAUUAAGGAUUUGACUAAGCCCGCACAAGCAGAGAGUUAAGACUGAUAUUCUGUCAUUACCUCAGCUCAUUACAUCUUGGGGUUUUGUUACUCAUGUAGUCUGUAAGAUCACCCACUCUCUGGAGAAUCCUAUACUACCUGGAAACAAAGGGAAGUGUUAUGUUGUAGCUUUACCUCUGAAAUUUCCUUGCUUUGCCAACUUUCCUCAGUGUUACCAUAAAACAGUUCUUGGUGACUUAUAUGUAUUAAUGGCAUUAAUUAAACUAUCAGCACAGCUGAAUGGGAG